UGAAGGGCCUCUCUCGUCGCUGUCUUAAGAGCGGGAAGUCUGAGGAGAGAGAGAGAGAGCAACUGCGCAGCUAGGCGAGGCGGUGCUGGCUAAGAGCAGGAGCUCAGUGGGGAACCGGUGGUGACUAUUGGUUCAGGGAGUAAGAACUACCGAUCUGUGAUAAGAGCACGUAUGGAGGAGAUGCACCAGAUGGCAAAUUUUGUCGUGUGUUCUUCCUGCCGGCCGGGAGCGACACCGACAGCUGGUGGCCCGUACGGGGAAUGAUCAACCCCGAGAUUCGGCGGUGGACUGCAUUCUCCUACACAGAGCUACAGGACAGGGACCGGGACGAGAACCACUGUGGGUCCCAGAGAGGUUGACAAGUCCCUCGACUGAAGAUCAGGCCUGUUCCACCAGAGGCCAACCGCAGACCCAACAACAAGAUGAGCCCUAAAAGAACUGCAGGACAAUCCCUUUUUGGGGGCCUGGAACGGCUUGCUCCCCUAUGUGCUACCCUUGUAUACGCAUGGCUCGCUCGCAUGGCCUACGACCGCGUUUAAAAGUGACAGGCUUCCCACAUUCUCCUCCCUAGACAACAACAUGUAGCAGGGUGGGUGAGUCAAUGACGGGUAAGAGCGUGCCUCCCCAGCACGACUCAACCUAAGCCAGGCCCUACCCCAUACUGCACGAAAGCCGCUGGAUUACUAGAAUCUGCCCAGAUCUAGAUGUCUCUCUGAGGGGAUCGCACGGAGGGGCAGGAGUGCAUGCCUAUGUGCAUCCAGGUUCCGUCCAGUUCACUCCUGGCCCUGAAAAAAGGACGAGGGUCUCAAGGCCUUGGCGGACCCAGGGACGGCUGACCAGGGUCCAAGCCAAGGGCCUACAGUGGGCCUCAACACAGGGCAUAGGCCUCUGCACUCUAUCCAGGACGGGCUGCGAUGCGCGUAUUCAUUUAAAAUAAAAUAGGGGGAGAUGUUGGGAGCCGUGGCACUGUCAAGUCAUCAGACGCGGUGAUUGCGAGGCCUGUAGGAAAGUACAAAAGCCUGAGCUAGAUUACCCCUCUCAUCGAGCCCGCCUGUGUGGCGCCUGUUUCCUGCUUCCUGAUCACCCCACUAAGUUCCCGCCUCGCAGGGUAGUCUGCCUAGCUACUAAUGUUGCUAGCCAAUCAGCUUACGCGACCCGCCUUGAUUUGAUUGGAGGCCACAAUCCUAUAUAUAGCCAGUACCUCCACCCCUGGAGGGGAGAAGCACGGAAGGAGCCGCGGAGAGCAGACCGGUAGAGGCUUCGGGGAGAAGCACGGAAGGAGCCGCGGAGAGCGGACCGGUAGAGGCUUCGGAGCAAAGCACGGAAGGAGCCGCGGGGAGCGGACCAACAGAGGCUUCGGCCGGGACGAGUCCCAGGGUAGACUGUGAAGGAGGAGAGAAAUAAAAUAGAAUACUUCGCCACCGCCAGAUUUUGUCGUGUGUUCUUCCUGCCGGCCGGGAGCGACACCAACAUGCAGUGAGACCUCAAAGAAAGAAAGGAAAGAAACUAUCACAACAGAAUCAUCCGGAGAGUGGCAUGGCUGAGGGGAAAACAAACAAAAAACAUGUAGAAUGAAAAUAAUCAUUGAAAGAAUGAAAAGUACAAGCCACAGAUUCUGGUAGAUACUACAAUAAUGAGUCUGCAAGUUUCAUUGCUCACUUAAAAUGUUCUGUUUUGUCUUGCUAGUGCUGCAAAAGAUCGAGCCAAUGGCCACCAAUUCAGCAGCCAGGGAUGGAACUCAAGACAGGUUCUAAAGGAUUUCCAGAUCACAAUUCUAUAGAGAAUUCCCAGAAGAAUCAAGCAAAAGCCACUCCUCCCGAGUGAAGUUCAAACUCAAGUAUUCAAAGGGCGCUGACUUCUAAAACAUUCCAGUUCCCAGCUCCUGUGCUUCUCCUGGCAUUCUUCCUACACUUUCAGCAACCAAUGGAAGUUACAGCUUACAGUAAGUAUAGGCACACUGAAGUUGGAGGUCAGCAAGCCCAAUGGAGAAUGGAGCUGGCAAGGGACCUGCAUCGACCUGCAGCAAGUGCCGAGAAUAAAACCCUUCCACGGGAAAGAGGCACCAACGGAAUGACAUUUUGGAAUCGAGCAGGACUGGCAAUAAGGAACAACAAUGACUUUAGUCAGUUGUUCCCUUCCCAGGAAGACACACAGACGUGGGAAUGAUGAUCGUGAAGGAGAAACAAACUCGCCGGGCUCCAGCGACAGGAGGCAUGGGACACCUCUCAGAAGCAAAAACAGAACUGAGAGCCAAACACAAUGGAAUAAGUUGUACCAGAAUGGAGGAGCUGGCUGCCAUUGGUGGGCUGUGUAAUGUCUGUGGCAGUGUGCUCUGGGUGGCACUGUCAGCAAGGGCAGGUCGGAUUUUAACUCUGGGGCUGCUCAGCCACUUUACCAUAGGACUGGCCCAGCUGGUUAAUCAUGCAGGUGACAGCACAAAACACCACACUCUGGGGCAGGCAGCCACAGCCCUUCAGCUAAGGAUGCCACAUCUAUUCCUUGUUUACUGUGUUCUUGAUGCUCCGACUUUUGUGACAGCUAGCUAAUCCCUGGUGACAACUAAUGUCUCUUCACAUGCCCAAGACUCUUCAUGGUGUGCAGUGCCUCCUGUUACUGAGGACCUGUGAAUAUAGGCUUGUUUCAUAAUCUUUGUUUGCAUGUCCAUGUAUCUUACUGUGCCCAAUGAAAACAAACUACCGGUACAAAUUUAGUACAAUCAAUUAACAGCUGGAAACCUAAGUAACAGCGUGGGUAGCAAAAUAGAUUUUUAUUGGUAAAAUUAAAAUUUCACUAAGUGAAUAAAAAUUAUCAAGGUGUA